UUCAUUAUUUUGAGACUUUCUUUUUCCCCAGAAGAAAGCUUCAGCUAAUGAUAAUGCACGGAUAACGUGCAAACAACCUGGAAGUAAUUAAUGGUAGGUUGAUAGCAGUGUCAUAAUUCAGCCACAAAACAUUACGAAAUUGAAUUUUGUGUUGCAUAGCCAAGUUCAAGUGUGGUUGAGGUUAGACUUUAUCAAGGUAGUGGAG
rnacentral:lncRNA from 1 species